rnacentral:lncRNA from 1 species
UUUCUCCAUCCUAGUAAUCAAAUUUGAGCAAAAUCAAAUGGGGCUUUCUAUGAAAGUACCUUUUGUUGAUCUGAACGAGCUGGUAAUUUACAAAAUACCCUUCCUUUGUGAGGAAGGCUAAAGAAAAAAAGAAUCAGUAGCUUUUAAAGCUGGGCCUUAGUGGGACUCUAAAUGCAAUGAAAGCAGUCUGUGUUGAGAGACUGAAAUGCAUUUCAAAGCCAGGCCUGAUUCGGGGUACAAGGAAGAACAGACCUAUGUGCAUUUUGUAGGAAGAAAACUGUGAAUGGAAAAAGGAGAAGGGGAGAGAAACGGGGGAAAUCUGGAUAAUACAUUAAAGUAACCAUAAUUUUGGAGAUGCAUUCAUCUUAUUGAAAAUAUAUUUCCUCAUGGUUGUGAUUCCUCUUCACUCUUUUGAAUUUGGAAGGAUGGCAUACACAUCUGAAAAAUACCACUACUUCCUUCAUUGGACUGCAAGGUAUUUCUGUUUGGAAAAGUAAUGGAGUCCAGUCAACUUCAUUGAUCGCCAAGGACUGUCAAAAUUAUAAAACUUGCUGUGGAGCUCUGACAUGCCAGAAGCCGCUAGAAAAAGAAGUUUGACAUUCAGAAACUUAUCAAGAGGUUCUACUCUUUGGAUAGAGACCAAAAUCAUACUUUGAAUGAUAUGCAAUGCAAGACUCCCAAGAUUCUGGGCAGUGGCAGGGAGGUGCAGCUUCUAGUCUGCCGCAUGAUCACAAUGUCAGCUGGUCCCUCUUCUCAGGUGUAGAUCACCUAUUAUAAUUUUACCUAAUUUUGAUACUCUGAUAAGGAAAGUCCCAGGACUUAUCAGCUGGGAUAGGCCUCACUUACAAGACAGCUCUGUUCAGUAUUUGGAAGAAAGCCUGACAGGUUUCUUCGGAAAAGUGGCCAUCCAUGGAAUGAAUGAAAUGUUCUCUUUCUAUUCCAGGGAUUGCAGUGGCAAAGCUAGGCUAGGUCUUGGAGGCUGGUGUAAGGCGAUGUGGGUGAAGGCAGGAGGCUGAUGGAAAGACUGGGGGGAAGAAAAGCCGAAAUGGAUUCACGGUGCCUUGGAUGAAGGACGAGAGGGGAACUGCAAGCUCCUUCAACUGGUUCUGUCCGGUGAGAAGUGAUCAAGCUUGGGCUGACAAGAGGCUCAGGGAGCCCUCACGUUCUUUCGCUUUUUUACCUGCCAAUCAAACUGCUACAAGACAACACCCUGAUCUGGCAUGGACAUGUCCGUGUUUACCUUAAUAUUACACCUGGAUUAAACAGAAAACAGUGCUGUAUUUUGAAGAGCGCCGAAUAUGUAUGCAUUUUGAGAAACCCAAUCUCACCCUUUCCGGGUUCCCAAGAACUAAAACAAGCCAUAACUUGAGAGAAAAAGGAGAACCUUCGGGGGGCAGGAAGGUUGAUUGGAAAUAACUUAAGGAAAGUCUGCAGAAUUCUUUUUUUUACAACUUUUCUGAGUUUCCAGUGGGUAUAUUUAGUGUGAGUUUGACAGUAACAGGCUAGGGAGGGCAGAGAUUGGAGAAAUUGGGGGUCGGGGGAGUGAUUAUGGGAAGAAGGUUAGUAAGGAACAAAACAAUGCACCGUUUUGUAAAGAUAAUAAAUGGAACGUGGCUGGUAGAUACUAUUCAGUACAUUUUCUUAGGGUGAGUAAGGGUAGACCAGGGGAGGAGGGGGCGGAGAGAGUGUUACAGAAGAAAGAAAAUAAGUAACCC